rnacentral:rRNA from 1 species
UNUGACUUGAGUGCAGAAGGGGAGAGUGGAAUNCCAUGUGUAGCGGUGAAAUGCGUAGAUAUAUGGAGGAACACCAGUGGCGAAAGCGGCUCUCUGGUCUGUCACUGACGCUGAGGCUCGAAAGCGUGGGUAGCGUACAGGAUUAGAUACCCUGGUAGUCCACGCCGUAAACGAUGAGUGCUAGGUGUUAGGCCCUUUCCGGGGCUUAGUGCCGGAGCUAACGCAAUAAGCACUCCGCCUGGGGAGUACGACCGCAAGGUUGAAACUCAAAGGAAUUGACGGGGGCCCGCACAAGCGGUGGAGCAUGUGGUUUAAUUCGAAGCAACGCGAAGAACCUUACCAGGUCUUGACAUCCCGAUGCUAUUCUUAGAGAUAGGAAGUUACUUCGGUACAUCGGAGACAGGUGGUGCAUGGUUGUCGUCAGCUCGUGUCGUGAGAUGUUGGGUUAAGUCCCGCAACGAGCGCAACCCUUAUUGUUAGUUGCCAUCAUUAAGUUGGGCACUCUAGCGAGACUGCCGGUAAUAAACCGGAGGAAGGUGGGGAUGACGUCAAAUCAUCAUGCCCCUUAUGACCUGGGCUACACACGUGCUACAAUGGUCGAUACAACGAGUUGCGAGCCGGUGACGGCAAGCUAAUCUCUGAAAGCCGAUCUCAGUUCGGAUUGGAGGCUGCAACUCGCCUCCAUGAAGUCGGAAUCGCUAGUAAUCGCGGAUCAGCACGCCGCGGUGAAUACGUUCCCGGGCCUUGUACACACC